GAUCCUGGCUCAGGAUGAACGCUAGCUACAGGCUUAACACAUGCAAGUCGAGGGGCAGCAGAUCGAAAGCUUGCUUUGAUGCUGGCGACCGGCGCACGGGUGAGUAACGCGUAUCCAACCUUCCCUAUAGUAGAGAAUAGCCCGGCGAAAGUCGGAUUAAUGCUCUAUGUUGUAUUUAGAAGACAUCUGAAGAAUACCAAAGGUUUACCGCUAUAGGAUGGGGAUGCGUCUGAUUAGGUAGUAGGCGGGGUAACGGCCCACCUAGCCGACGAUCAGUAGGGGUUCUGAGAGGAAGGUCCCCCACAUUGGAACUGAGACACGGUCCAAACUCCUACGGGAGGCAGCAGUGAGGAAUAUUGGUCAAUGGACGGAAGUCUGAACCAGCCAAGUAGCCGUGCAGGAUGACGGCCCUAUGGGUUGUAAACUGCUUUUAUAUAGGGAUAAAGUCGGGGACGUGUCCCCGUUUGUAGGUACUAUAUGAAUAAGGACCGGCUAAUUCCGUGCCAGCAGCUGC
rnacentral:rRNA from 1 species